rnacentral:rRNA from 1 species
GACGAACGCUGGCGGCGUGCUUAACACAUGCAAGUCGAACGGAAAGGCCCUGCUUUUGUGGGGUGCUCGAGUGGCGAACGGGUGAGUAACACGUGAGUAACCUGCCCUUGACUUUGGGAUAACUUCAGGAAACUGGGGCUAAUACCGGAUAGGAGCUCCUGCUGCAUGGUGGGGGUUGGAUAGUUUCGGCGGUUGGGGAUGGACUCGCGGCUUAUCAGCUUGUUGGUGGGGUAGUGGCUUACCAAGGCUUUGACGGGUAGCCGGCCUGAGAGGGUGACCGGCGAGAGUGGGACUGGGAUACGGCCCAGACUCCUACGGGAGGCAGCAGUGGGGAAUAUUGCACAAUGGGCGGAAGCCUGAUGCAGCAACGCCGCGUGCGGGAUGACGGCCUUCGGGUUGUAAACCGCUUUCGCCUGUGACGAAGCGUGAGUGACGGUAAUGGGUAAAGAAGCACCGGCUAACUACGUG